rnacentral:rRNA from 1 species
CGUGGGCGCAGGAAAUUUGAGAGGAGCUGUCCUUAGUACGAGAGGACCGGGAUGGACAUACCUCUGGUGUACCAGUUGUCGUGCCAACGGCAUCGCUGGGUAGCUAUGUAUGGACGGGAUAAGUGCUGAAAGCAUCUAAGCAUGAAGCCCCCCUCAAGAUGAGAUUUCCCAACUUCGGUUAUAAGAUCCCUCAAAGAUGAUGAGGUUAAUAGGUUCGAGGUGGAAGCAUAGCGAUAUGUGGAGCUGACGAAUACUAAUCGAUCGAAGACUUAAUCAAAUUUAAAAGUGUU